AUAUAUAUUGGGCGCCGGGUGAUCAGGGAUGCUUUGACCCCGGGUGGAGGCUCACCAUCGCACUUCGGUGGGUUGAAACUCGCGACGAGCCCUAAUCGGGUGCGCUCGGGCGUGUAGUUUUUGUCAGUGGGGAGGUCUCACAGUCCUCCCUU
rnacentral:snRNA from 1 species